CCCUGGAAUGCUGCCCAACAAGCUGGAGCAGAUCGACACUAAUCCCACCAUGCCCCUGAAGGCUGGUAUGUGCAGCACGAUGCCUGCAGGGCAACACCACAGCUUGACAACACUCGGACGAACAAGGAAACCUCUUUGAAAACGGCGUUUCACGGAACACAGAGAGUAAGCUUCUCGUGCCACCAGCUUGCUGCAGAGCUCCACGGUGCUGCGGCAGAGUUUGUCAAUUUCACGGACACGCUAGCAUACUCUGCACAGCGUGAUGGAAAUGCAUGAAGACCUAUUCUUCCAGGGAUUCAGACUGGAACUCUUACACUGUGUUUCCAGAUCUUAUCAAGAGAUCACAAAGUCCUGUUUGGAGAAAGAACAAACAAAACCAACAACAACCACGGAUAAGAGACCUCUCCUGAAAGCAAGCGGACUGGGUUCAGGUGUGGCGAGAUACUGUUCAAGAAACAAAGACCUGAGAGAGUGCCUCCCGCACAUCAAGGGCUUGGCUGUGUUUCAACGUGCCUAUUCCCAGCAGGGGUGAUAGAUGGGAAGGAGUCAGGCCUGGCGGUGCGGUCACAGGUGUGAGCCCUGCAUUGCACCGGGGUAAUUAGCACACAACACAGAGAUUUGCAGUGGCUCAUUAGAAGAGUGUUGCCUCCCUCCUGGUCCCAGUGCAGUAUCUCCUGCACCAUGAGGAAUCCUCGCUGUAUCCCCAGGCCCCGAGGUGUGUGUGUGCUGCGCAUUCCCAGCAGGAACGCAUUCUCUCAUUAACUGCAAAUUAAAACAGCUCUGUGGUAGGUGGGGCAUGGUCUACUUCCGACUCCACUCGUGUGUGAAAUUAAAAACACGCUAAACCCCCCUCCCUUCCUGAGCUUCAGAACGGGACAUUUUCAUCACCCUGCGGGGGUCACAACGUCUUCCAUUCCGAUUAGGAGGGGUUGUCCCUAGAUUUAUGGUAAUGCAAGAGGGUCACUGUGCAUCUCUCUGUCUCUCUCUCCAGUGAGCGCUCUGCUCUGCCAGUUCCCUGGAGGCCUGGGAUUGAGUCACAUGGUGCAGCUGCCUGUUCUCUGACCCCAGUCAUGUAAACACAGCCACACUCCUGUGAGGUGCUCAAUGGCCUUGAUUAUGUAUGAGCUCUGGGCCGGCUGCCAAGGGGAAGACCCAGUGCAAGGCUUCCCUUGGCAGACAGCCAAUCCACCAU